rnacentral:rRNA from 1 species
ACAGGUGCUGCAUGGCUGUCGUCAGCUCGUGUCGUGAGUAUGUUUGGGUUAAGUCCCGCAACGAGCCGCAACCCUUUGUUCAUUUAGUUGCCUAUCAUUUGGUUGGGCACUCUAAUGAGACUGCCGGUGACAACCGGAGGAAGGUGGGGAUGACGUCAAGUCCUCAUGGCCCUUAUGGGUAGGGCUUCACACGUCAUACAAUGGUCGGUACAGAGGGUUGCCAACCCGCGAGGGGGAGCUAAUCCCACAAAGCCGAUCGUAGUUCGGAUCGCAGUCUGCAACUCGACUGCGUGAAGUCGGAAUCGCUAGUAAUCGUGGAUCAGAAUGUCACGGUGAAUACGUUCCCGGGUCUU